UGCUAUUCUCAUGACAGUGAGUAAUUUCUCACAAGAUCUGAUGGUUUUAUAAGGGGCUUCCCCCUUCACUUGGCUCUCAUUCUUCUCCUUCCUGUCACCAUGUGAAAGAUAUGCUUGUUUCCUCUUCUGCCGUGAUUGCUUAUAAACAGAAGGGACUUGCCUUGUCUCAGAUGAGACUUUGGACUUAGACUUUUGGGUAAUGCUGCAAUGAGCUAAGACCUGCGCUGAUGGAAAGACUGAAGUACAGUGACACGAUCUUGGCUCACUGCAACCUCUGCUUCCUGGGUUCGAGCGAUUCUCCGGCCUCAGUCUCCCAAGCAGCUGAAACUACAGAUGCAGAUAAGAAACGUGGGAAGCCACAAGAAAGCCAAGUAGCCUGGGAAAAAGUGGUCAUUGAGCCAUGAGAAAAAAUUAACAUUUGAUCCUGUUGGUGCCACCUGAAGGCAGAGAUGGCUGAGGACCCCCGAGUGAAAAGGGACACACUGCAAUCCUGGAGGAGCCGCUCUGUGGAUGCAUAUGAAAAAUGGAAUCAUAGAUGCGCAAGGGAUUGAAUGGCGAACACAGAUGUGGCCCACAAAGAUCCUUAACAACUGCUGGGUGUACUGCCAGCAGACAGCCUUUAGAGAGGAGCCUCUUCAGGAAUUACUUCAGCUAUAGAGACCCACUUUUUCCAAGAUCAUGUCUUUCCAGGGGUGGUCCACAUUUAGCGACUGAUCUAGGCAAAAGUAAAAAAAGUUCAAGCCCUUUUAUCCCAAAGUGGGGCAACUCUGUUGGGCCAUUUCAGCUUUUAAAUUCCUUGUGGUGUUGGCUGAUGUUAUUGGGUUGGCCUGGCAGCCCUACAUACUCUUCUCCCCAAUCUUGUUUUUUUCCCUUUUCAUUCAUGGCUUUUGAUCUCAAGGCACUUCUUUUUUAAAAAAAUUUUUACCUCAUUUUUUUUGGACAGGGUCUCACUUUGUUGCCCAGGGCAGAGUACUGUAGCACAACCAUAGCUCAUUGCAACCUCCAGUUCCUAAGUCAUCCUCCCACCUAAGCCUCCUGUGUAGCUAGGACUAUAGGUGCAUGCCACCAUGCCCUGCAAAUUUAAAUUUUUUUUUCGUGGAGAAAGGGUCUUGGUAUACUGCUCAGGCUAGUCUCAAAUUCCUUAUCUCAAGUGAUCAUUCCCUCUUAGCCUCCCAAUGAGCCAUUGCACCUGGUCCCAAAGGCACUUCUUAAUAAGCAUCCUGCAUGCUAAACCCUGUCUAUAAAAGUCUUUAAGAAUUGGCUUUCUGUAAACCCCAGCCAGCAAUACAUAACUAUUUUGAAGCCUCCACAGAACUCUUGAGCAUUUGCUACAAACCAGCCAGCAAUCUCCUCCCAUCCAAGUUUUUCAGUGUAUAAACUCCAAUCUCUUCACAAAGUGUCAUCCUGCUCCACAAAGAAGAAUAAACUAGUUAUUGAUUAUGUCUUCUUUGCUUUCUAUACACUCCAAUCAAGCUGUUUCCUCCUUCAUAGUGUGAUGUGAACCCAUAUUGUAGGCUUUUACUCAUGAAAUGACUAUAUUAUUAAAAGAGAGAUUCUCUCAUCUCUAAGCCCUUCCUUAUGAAGAAAUUUGUAAAUAAAUUUAUUAAUGAAUUACCUAUCAUGUUUUUCUUACUCAAAAUAAAUCAGGUGCCCUAUAGCUGCUGAAGCCUUGCUUGCAUCUUAGUAAUAAUAAAGUUGGUGGCUUUAAAAUGAAUUCUAAAAAACUCAAAAUUACAUGUAUUUAUUCUUUUCAUUUCUUAUUCUCAGACUUGAAUUGGCUCACUAUUCAAAGUAUAAGUAAUGUAAACUUUUCAAGAUGAUGCUAUUCAUGAAUUGUCUCUUCUAAGCCCAAAUUACAUAAUUUUCUAGUUUAGAAAAGGCUUUGGUAUAUCUCAUUCCUAUAGCACUCAAGUUUAUCAUCAACUUUAUUGAGGAGAUUUUUAGAUUUUAAAUACUUGAAUUUUGUUUAAAAUAUCAGACACAUGUAAACUUGUCUGACUUUUAAUUUAGCAGGAAAAAAGCUUAAUAUUUCAACAAGACAUUUACCCUGAAGAGAAACAAUAACAUGGAAUAAAAUAAUUAGAACAUCUUUCAUUUAUUAGAAUAGUGAAAAUACAAAAACAAAACAAAACAUAAAAACAACAAUACCAAAUGCUGGUAAGAAUGCUGAAUACAUUCAUUGCUGGUAAGGGUGAAAAUGGUAUAGCCACUUUGGAAAACAGUUUGGUCAGUUUCUUGAAAAAAACUAAACAUAGCCUUACAAGUGGUCCAGCUAUCCCUUUUCUAGUUAUUUACUGAAGUAAGUUGAAAAUUUAGGCUCACCCCAAAAUCUGUACACAGAUGUGUAUAGAUUUAUUCAUAAUCCUCUCAAACUAGAAAUAACAAAAAUGUCCCUCAAAUGGUGAAUUGAUGAACAAAUUGUAUGUAGUAUAUCUAUAUAAUAAAAUAUAAUUCAACAACAAAAAGAUAUGUGCUGUCAAGCCACAUAAAAAAUGUAGAAAUCUAAUAUGCCUAUUGCUUAGUAAAAAAGCCAGUCUGAUAAGGCUACAUACUGUAUGAUUCUAAAUAUAUAGUAUUCUAGAAAAGGCAAAAUUAUAGAGACAAUAAAAUAUUUGUGGUUUCCUGGGAUUGAGGGGAAGAGGAAGAUUGAGCAGGUGCUACACAGGGGCACAUUAGGGCAGUGAAAGUAUUCUGCAUGAUAUUAUAAUGGUGGAUUCAUGACACUAUGCAUUUGUUAAAACCUAUAAAACUGUAACACAAGGAGUGAAGCCAAAUGUAAACUAUGGACUUUGGUUAAUAAUAAUGUAUCAAUAUUGGCUCAUCAAUUAUAACAAAUGUACCACAUUAAUGCAAGAUGUUAAUAAUGAGGAAGACUGUGAGGUGAUAAAGAGGGGAUAUAAGGGAAUUCUCUGUACUGUGUUCUCAAUUAUUGUAAACCUCAAACUUCUGUAAAAAUCCUAUUAAUAAGAUAAAAAGGAAAAUAUGUGUGUGUGUGUGUAUAUAUAUAUAUAUAUAUAAU
rnacentral:lncRNA from 10 species